rnacentral:lncRNA from 1 species
CUUGAGGGACACAUCCCAGAAGAAGGAGCACAAGGGCAGGGUGACAUUAGGUAUUUAUGGUGCAGUGAUUGGCUACUGUGAAUUUAGUGACUGGCAUAUGAUAUGGAGGCCAAACCGGGCUCAAGAGUGACUGAAAACAAACCCGGAGGGAAGGACACUGCAGAAGGUUAUGCAAGAGAAGAGAGCCAACGGUGGACUCUACGCCAUAGUCAGUGCCCCUUCUGCUGUCACUCAACUCCAGUGUAUGAAUCAGGAGACUGAGAUCACGGUCCCUUGGCCAGCACAUGGGGGAGCUGAAAGGUGUGGUUUUCUCCGAUGCUCUAUUGCUCUGACAGCUUCUUUUGGUCACCACUUGGGAAGGAGCUUCCUAGGGCAAAGCAGCAAAGAAACAGGAGCUGCUAGGGGACAGUCAGCCUUCUCACCAACCAUCACUUGGAACACAUGUACACGUGGUGGAUGCACGUGCCCUCUCCCAAGGCAUGGAACUUUAUCUGGAAAACACUCUCUCUGUUUCCCCUCAAGAAUCUUUCAUAUUCUUUUCUGA